rnacentral:rRNA from 1 species
GAUGAACGCUGGCGGCGUGCUUAACACAUGCAAGUCGAACGAUGAAGCCCAGCUUGCUGGGUGGAUUAGUGGCGAACGGGUGAGUAACACGUGAGUAACCUGCCCUUAACUCUGGGAUAAGCCUGGGCAACUGGGUCUAAUACCGGAUAGGAGCGUCCACCGCAUGGUGGGUGUUGGAAAGAUUUAUCGGUUUUGGAUGGACUCGCGGCCUAUCAGCUUGUUGGUGGGGUAAUGGCUCACCAAGGCGACGACGGGUAGCCGGCCUGAGAGGGUGACCGGCCACACGGGUACUGAGACACGCAUCAGUAUACAACGAGAGGCAGCAGUGGGGAAUAGUGCACGAUGGGCGCAAGCCUGAUGCAGCGACGUCGCGUGGGGGAUGACUGCCUUCUGGGUGUAAACCGCUUUCAGUAGGGAAGAAGCGAAAGUGACGGUACCUGCAGAAGAAGCACCGGCUAACUACGUG